AACGAACGCUGGCGGCAUGCCUAACACAUGCAAGUCGAACGAGACCUUCGGGUCUAGUGGCUCACGGGUGCGUAACGCGUGGGAACCUGCCCUUAGGUUCGGAAUAACUCCCCGAAAGGGGUGCUAAUACCGGAUAAUGUCUUCGGACCAAAGAUUUAUCGCCUUUGGAUGGGCCCGCGUUGGAUUAGCUAGUUGGUAGGGUAAAAGCCUACCAAGGCGACGAUCCAUAGCUGGUCUGAGAGGAUGAUCAGCCACACUGGGACUGAGACACGGCACAGACUCCUACGGGAGGCAGCAGUGGGGAAUAUUGGACAAUGGGCGAAAGCCUGAUCCAGCAAUGCCGCGUGAGUGAUGAAGGCCUUAGGGUUGUAAAGCUCUUUUACCCGGGAUGAUAAUGACAGUACCGGGAGAAUAAGCUCCGGCUAACUCCGUG
rnacentral:rRNA from 1 species